rnacentral:rRNA from 1 species
CCUACGGGUGGCAGCAGUGGGGAAUAUUGGACAAUGGGCGAAAGCCUGAUCCAGCCAUGCCGCGUGUGUGAAGAAGGCCUUCGGGUUGUAAAGCACUUUCAGUGGGGAAGAAAGCCUUGGGGCUAAUACCCUCGAGGAAGGACAUCACCCACAGAAGAAGCACCGGCUAACUACGUGCCAGCAGCCGCGGUAAUACGGAGGGUGCGAGCGUUAAUCGGAAUUACUGGGCGUAAAGCGCGCGUAGGCGGUCUGAUAAGCCGGUUGUGAAAGCCCCGGGCUCAACCUGGGAACGGCAUCCGGAACUGUCAGGCUAGAGUGCAGGAGAGGAAGGUAGAAUUCCCGGUGUAGCGGUGAAAUGCGUAGAGAUCGGGAGGAACACCAGUGGCGAAGGCGGCCUUCUGGACUGACACUGACGCUGAGGUGCGAAAGCGUGGGUAGCAAACAGGAUUAGAUACCCGAGUAGUC